CUCGUAUUAAUACCGCAUACGACCUACGGGAGAAAGGGCCGCAGUUUACUGCUCUCGCUAUUAGAUGAGCCUAAGUCGGAUUAGCUAGAUGGUGGGGUAAAGGCCUACCAUGGCGACGAUCUGUAGCUGGUCUGAGAGGAUGAUCAGCCACACCGGGACUGAGACACGGCCCGGACUCCUACGGGAGGCAGCAGUGGGGAAUAUUGGACAAUGGGGGAAACCCUGAUCCAGCCAUGCCGCGUGUGUGAAGAAGGCCUUUUGGUUGUAAAGCACUUUAAGCAGUGAAGAAGACUCCGUGGUUAAUACCCACGGACGAUGACAUUAGCUGCAGAAUAAGCACCGGCUAACUCUGUGCCAGCAGCCGCGGUAAUACAGAGGGUGCAAGCGUUAAUCGGAAUUACUGGGCGUAAAGGGAGCGUAGGUGGCUCUAUAAGUCAGAUGUGAAAUCCCCGGGCUUAACCUGGGAACUGCAUCUGAAACUGUAGAGCUAGAGUAUGUGAGAGGAAGGUAGAAUUCCAGGUGUAGCGGUGAAAUGCGUAGAGAUCUGGAGGAAUACCGNANNUGGCGAAGGCAGCCUUCUGGCAUAAUACUGAACAACUGAGGCUCGAAAGCGUGGGUAGCAAACGGGAUUAGAUACCCUGGUAGUCCACGCCGUAAACGAUGUCUACUAGUNCGUUGGGNUCCCUUNGAGGACUUAGUNGACGCAGCUAACGCAAUAAGUAGANCCNGCCUGGGGAGUACGGCCGCAAGGUUAAAACUCAAAUGAAUUGACGGGGGCCCGCACAAGCGGUGGAGCAUGUGGUUUAAUUCGAUGCAACGCGAAGAACCUUACCUGGUCUUGACAUAUCUAGAAUCCUGCAGAGAUGCGGGAGUGCCUUCGGGAAUUAGAAUACAGGUGCUGCAUGGCUGUCGUCAGCUCGUGUCGUGGGAUGUUGGGUUAAGUCCCGCAACGAGCGCAACCCUUGUCCUUAGUUACCAGCGGGUUAAGA
rnacentral:rRNA from 1 species